rnacentral:rRNA from 1 species
CCUACGGGUGGCAGCAGUGGGGAAUAUUGCACAAUGGGGGAAACCCUGAUGCAGCGACGCCGCGUGAGUGAAGAAGUAUUUCGGUAUGUAAAGCUCUAUCAGCAGGGAAGAAAAAAGACGGUACCUGACUAAGAAGCCCCGGCUAACUACGUGCCAGCAGCCGCGGUAAUACGUAGGGGGCAAGCGUUAUCCGGAUUUACUGGGUGGAAAGGGAGCGUAGACGGCGCGGCAAGUCUGAAGUGAAAGGCGGGGGCUUAACCCCUGAACUGCUUUGGAAACUGCCAUGCUAGAGUGCUGGAGAGGUAAGUGGAAUUCCUAGGGUAGCGGUGAAAUGCGUAGAUAUUAGGAGGAACACCAGUGGCGAAGGCGGCUUACUGGACAGUAACUGACGUUGAGGCUCGAAAGCGUGGGGAGCAAACAGGAUUAGAUACCCUAGUAGUC